rnacentral:rRNA from 1 species
GAUGAACGCUGGCGGCGUGCCUAAUACAUGCAAGUCGAGCGCUGAAGGUUGGUACUUGUACCAACUGGAUGAGCAGCGAACGGGUGAGUAACGCGUGGGGAAUCUGCCUUUGAGCGGGGGACAACAUCUGGAAACGAAUGCUAAUACCGCAUAAAAUCUUUAACCACAAGUUUCAAGUUUGAAAGAUGCAAUUGCUUCACUCAAAGAUGAUCUCGCGUUGUAUUAGCUAGUUGGUGAGGUAAAGGCCAACCAAGGCGAUGAUUCAUAGCCGACCUGGGAGGGGGGUCGGCCAAAACGGGACCGGAGACCGGCCCAAGCUCCCUAGGGGAGGAGCAGUAGGGGAACUUCGGCAAAGGGGGGAAGUCUUACCGGACAACGCCGCCGGGGUGGAGGAAGUUCUCCGGUCGGUAAACUCUUUUGGUAGGGAAAGACGAUGGGGAGAGUGAAAAGCUCAUCAAGUGACGGUAACUACCCAGAAAGGGACGGCUAACUACGUG